UGUAUCGUGAAUGAUAAGCGAUGUUAGA
rnacentral:sRNA from 1 species